ACGAUUCGAUCUGUCGCUCAUUCGUCAAAAAAAAAAAAAAAUCCCUCUCCCGAUCGGCAACAGAGAAACCCUCGCCUCGCUCGGCUGCGCUGCGCGCCUGCGCCGCCGUCCUCGUCAGUUAUCAACCCGUGAUUCCCCGACGCGCCGGCCGCCAGGAGAUUAAAAAUCCAACAUGACGAGGACCAGUUCAAUUAAAUCCUUUUUCAGGAUUGAGGAUAUUAAGAUUUUUCGGUGCUAUCAAAAAAAUGAGGCAACACAAGGGGCUAUUACCUCUUGCAUUUCACGAUAAUGCUCCCAGUCCUUCUACUAUUGCUGGUGAAGAAAUGAUGGCCUCCAAUUAAGCAAAUCUUCAAUAAUUAGGUACCAAACAAUGUUUGCAAUGAUGCACUUUAUUAAACUAUUUGUUUUACAGAAUUUCCUCUCGUGAAAUAAUGAACUUAUAUUUUGUUUUUAAUGUGAAUUUGUGGUAUACCUCCAACACACAUU